rnacentral:rRNA from 1 species
AUAGGCGAAAGCCUGACAGGGUUACUCUGAGUGACUCUCGUUAAGAGGGUCUUUUGGCACCUCUAAAAAGGGUGUAGAAUAAGGGGUGGGCAAGUCUGGUGUCAGCCGCCGCGGUAAUACCAGCACCCCGAGUGGUCGGGACGAUUAUUGGGCCUAAAGCAUCCGUAGCCGGUACUGCAAGUCUUCCGUUAAAUCCACCUGCUCAACAGUUGGGCUGCGGAGGAUACUACAGCGCUAGGAGGCGGGAGAGGCAAGCGGUACUCAGUGGGUAGGGGUAAAAUCCAUUGAUCCAUUGAAGACCACCAGUGGCGAAGGCGGCUUGCCAGAACGCGCUCGACGGUGAGGGAUGAAAGCUGGGGGAGCAAACCGGAUUAGAUACCCGGGUAGUCC